rnacentral:rRNA from 1 species
AUUGAACGCUGGCGGAAUGCUUUACACAUGCAAGUCGAACGGCAGCACGGGGCAACCUGGUGGCGAGUGGCGAACGGGUGAGUAAUACAUCGGAACGUGCCCAAUCGUGGGGGAUAACGUAGCGAAAGUUACGCUAAUACCGCAUACGAUCUACGGAUGAAAGCGGGGGAUCGCAAGACCUCGCGCGAAUGGAGCGGCCGAUGUCAGAUUAGGUAGUUGGUGGGGUAAAGGCUCACCAAGCCAACGAUCUGUAGCUGGUCUGAGAGGACGACCAGCCACACUGGAACUGAGACACGGUCCAGACUCCUACGGAGGCAGCAGUGGGGAAUUUUGGACAAUGGGCGCAAGCCUGAUCAGCCAUUCCGCGUGCAGGAUGAA